rnacentral:rRNA from 1 species
UACAGAGGUCCCAAGCGUUGUUCGGAUUCACUGGGCGGUAAAGGGUGCGUGAGGCGGUCGGGUAAGUCUGAUGAUGAAAUCUCACAGCUUAAACUGUGAAACUGCAUUGGAUACUAUCCGGCUCGAGGAAUGGAGGGGAGACUGGAAUACUUGGUGUAGCAGUGAAAUGCGUAGAUAUCAAGUGGAACACCAGUGGCGAAGGCGAAGUCUCUGGAACAUUUCCUGACGCUGAGGCACGAAAGCCAGGGAGGCAAACGGG